GAUGAAGAACGCAGCGAAAUGCGAUAAGUAAUGUGAAUUGCAGAAUUCAGUGAAUCAUCGAAUCUUUGAACGCACAUUGCGCCCUUUGGUAUUCCUUAGGGCAUGCCUGUUCGAGCGUCAUUUAAACCUUCAAGCUCAGCUUGGUGUUGGGUGACUGUCCGCCGCCUCCGGGCGCGUGGACUCGCCUCAAAAUUAUUGGCGGCCGGUACAUUGGCUUCGAGCGCAGCAGAAACGCGAACUCGGGCCCGUCGUAUUGGCUCCCAGAAGCUAUCUUCACAAUUUUGACCUCGGAUCAGGUAGGGAUACCCGCUGAACUUAAGCAUAUCAAUAAGCGGAGGA
rnacentral:misc_RNA from 1 species